UAUCCGAUAACACGAGCAAAUAAAGUUGUAUCGUAAAACGCCAACGCAAAUAAAUCCUGCACAUUAAAAUAACAAAAACCUUUUUGUGACGAGAAAUAUUUAAACGAGUCAGUCGAAUAAUGUUCUUAUUUCUGUAUGUGGAAUGUUAUAAACAACCCACAACGUGCAACAAUAAAGAGAAGAAAGUGAAAACAAUCCAUUUGUCAUCUUUAAUAUAUUUGGCCAGUGAUAUCAAAUAACGUUAUUUGGAUAUAAGUAUAUAUUCAGUGUAAAUGUUUGGACAAGAAUAAAUAGGAAAAUAUGUAUCUACACUUAAAGCGUACAGGGUUCAAAGUUUUUAUAUUUAGGAAAAUUUUUAUGAUUAAAUGAAAUCUUUUUCUUGAUAUUGAA